rnacentral:pre_miRNA from 1 species
UGUAAACAUCCCCGACUGGAAGCUGUGAGGCUGCAUUUGAGCUUUCAGUCUGGUGUUUGCUGC